UACGUAGGGGGCAAUCGUUGUCCGGAUUCAUUGGGCGUAAAGAGCGUGUAGGCGGCCAGGUAGGUCGGUUGUGAAAACUGGAGGCUCAACCUUCAGAGGUCGACCGAAACCAUCUGGCUAGAGUCCGGGAGAGGAGAGUGGAAUUCCUGGUGUAGCGGUGAAAUGCGCAGAUAUCAGGAAGAACACCCGUGGCGAAAGCGGCUCUCUGGAACGGUACUGACGCUGAGACGCGAAAGCGUGGGGAGCGAACAGG
rnacentral:rRNA from 1 species